GUUGUAUGGUUAAGUGACUAAGCGUACACGGUGGAUGCCUUGGCAGUCAGAGGCGAUGAAAGACGUAGUAACUUGCGAUAAGCCCAGAUUAGGUAGUAACAACCAUUUGAGUCUGGGAUUUCUGAAUGGGGAAACCCACGUGCAUAAGCACGUAUCCUUACCUGAAUACAUAGGGUAAGGAGGCGAACCGGGGGAACUGAAACAUCUAAGUACCCCGAGGAAAAGAAAUCAACCGAGAUUCCGAAAGUAGCGGCGAGCGAAAUUGGACUAGCCCUUAAGCUUUACACGCGUUAGACGAACGGUCUGGAAAGUCCGACGAUACAGGGUGAUAGUCCCGUAGUUGACGACGUGUGUUCAGUGAAAUCGAGUAGGGCGGGACACGUGAUAUCCUGUCUGAAUAUGGGGGGACCAUCCUCCAAGGCUAAAUACUACUGACUGACCGAUAGUGAACCAGUACCGUGAGGGAAAGGCGAAAAGAACCCCUGUGAGGGGAGUGAAAUAGAACCUGAAACCGUGUACGUACAAGCAGUAGGAGCAGGCUUUGUCCUGUGACUGCGUACCUUUUGUAUAAUGGGUCAGCGACUUAUAUUCAGUGGCAAGGUUAACCAUCUAGGGGAGCCGUAGGGAAACCGAGUCUUAACUGGGCGUUCAGUCUCUGGAUAUAGACCCGAAACCAGGUGAUCUAGCCAUGGGCAGGUUGAAGGUUGAGUAACAUCAACUGGAGGACCGAACCGACUAAUGUUGAAAAAUUAGCGGAUGACUUGUGGCUAGGGGUGAAAGGCCAAUCAAACCUGGAGAUAGCUGGUUCUCCCCGAAAGCUAUUUAGGUAGCGCCUCGGACGAAUACUACUGGGGGUAGAGCACUGUUAAGGCUAGGGGGUCAUCCCGACUUACCAACCCUUUGCAAACUCCGAAUACCAGUAAGUACUAUCCGGGAGACACACGGCGGGUGCUAACGUCCGUCGUGGAGAGGGAAACAACCCAGACCGCCAGCUAAGGUCCCAAAUUACUACUAAGUGGGAAACGAUGUGGGAAGGCUCAGACAGCCAGGAUGUUGGCUUAGAAGCAGCCAUCAUUUAAAGAAAGCGUAAUAGCUCACUGGUCGAGUCGGCCUGCGCGGAAGAUGUAACGGGGCUAAGUAGUAAACCGAAGCUGCGGCAAUAUACUUUUGUAUAUUGGGUAGGGGAGCGUUCUGUAAGCGGUUGAAGGUGUGUGGUAACGCAUGCUGGACGUAUCAGAAGUGCGAAUGCUGACAUGAGUAACGAUAAAGGGGGUGAAAAACCUCCUCGCCGGAAGACCAAGGGUUCCUGUCCAACGUUAAUCGGGGCAGGGUAAGUCGACCCCUAAGGCGAGGCCGAAAGGCGUAGUCGAUGGGAAACGGGUUAAUAUUCCCGUACUUCUUACAAUUGCGAUGGGGGGACGGAGAAGGCUAGGUGGGCCUGGCGACGGUUGUCCAGGUUCAAGUGCGUAGGCUUAAGAGUUAGGUAAAUCCGGCUCUUUCUAAGGCUGAGACACGACGUCGAGCACCUACGGGUGUGAAGUCAUUGAUGCCAUGCUUCCAGGAAAAGCCUCUAAGCUUCAGAUUGUAAGGAAUCGUAC
rnacentral:rRNA from 1 species